rnacentral:rRNA from 1 species
UUAAAUGGCCGCAGUAUUUUGACUGUGCAAAGGUAGCAUAAUCAUUAGUUUCCUAAUUAGAAGCUGGAAUGAAAGGUUGAACGAAAAAAUAACUGUCUCUUUAUAAAUUUAUUAGAAUUUUAUAUUUAAGUUAAAAAGCUUAAAUACUUUUAAAAGACGAGAAGACCCUAUAGAGUUUUAUAUAAUUUUUUAUAAUUUGUUUAUUUUUAAUUAUAAAAAUUUUAUUAAUAAUUAUAUUUAAUUGGGGUGAUUAAAAAAUUUAAUAAACUUUUUUUUUAUAAAACAUUUAUAUAUGAUUAAUUGAUCCAUUAUUAAUGAUUAAAAGAUUAAAUUACCUUAGGGAUAACAGCGUAAUUUCUUUUUAGAGUUCUAAUCGAUAAAGAAGUUUGCGACCUCGAUGUUGGAUUAAAAUAAAAUUUUGGUGUAGAAGCUAAAAUUUUUAGGUCUGUUCGACCUUUAAAAUUUUACAUGAUCUGAGUUUAAACCGGUGUAAGCCAGGUUGGUUUCUAUCUUUAAAUAAUUAAAAUAUUUUAGUACGAAAGGACCAAAUAUUUAAAAUAUUUUUUAAAUAUUGAAUAAUAAUAAUUU